rnacentral:lncRNA from 1 species
CAACUGACCAUUUCAGUCAUGUUGACUUAUUUGUAAAUCUUACUUUGCUGAACAUUAUUGCUGUUUACAGUUUAUCUCUAUCUAUAAUAAUAUUCAAGAUAUAUAACCAAAAACAGCAAAAUUUCCUUAAAAUUACCAAUUCAGGGGCAGCAACCCAACAACAGGUUGUCCGAUUCAUCUGUAAAUUUCAGGGCAGAUAGAUCUUGACCUGAUAAUCAAUUUUUACUUCAUGUUCAGAUUUGCUCUAAAUGCUUUGGUUUUUGAGUUAUAAGCCAAAAACUGAAUUUUACCCCUAUGUUCUAUUUUUAGCUGUGGCGGCCAUCUUGGUUGGUUGGCCGGGUCACGCCACACAUUUUUUAAACUAGAUACCCCAAUUGUGAUUGUGGCCAAGUUUGGUUUAAUUUGGCCCAGUAGUUUCAGAGGAGAAGAUUUUUGUAAAAGAUUACUAAGAUUUACGAAAAAUGGUUAAAAAUUGACUAUAAAGGGCAAUAACUCCUAAAGGGUCAACUGAACAUUUCGGUCAUGUUGACUUAUUUGUAAAUCUUACUUUGCUGAACAUUAUUGCUGUUUACAGUUUAUCUCUAUCUAUAAUAAUAUUCAAGAAAAUAACCAAAAACAGCAAAAUUUCCUUAAAAUUACAUAUUCAGGGGCAGCAACCCAACAACGGGUUGUCUGGUUCAUCUGAAAAUUUCAGGGCAGAUAGAUCUUGACCUGAUAAACAAUUUUACCUAAUGUCAGAUUUGCUCUAAAUGCUUUGGUUUUUGAGUUAUAAGCCAACAACUGCAUUUUAACCCUAUGUUCUAUUUUUAGCCAUGGUGGCCAUCUUGGUUGGUUGGCGGGGUCACGCCACACAUGUUUUAAACUAGAUACCCCAAUGAUGAUUGUGGCCAAGUUUGGUUUAAUUUGGCCCAGUAGUUUCAGAGGAGAAGAUUUUUGUAAAAGUUAACGACGACAGACGACAGACGCCGGACGACAACGACGACGGACGCCGGUUGCAAAGUGAUGGGAAAAGCUCACUUGGCCCUUCGGGCCAGGUGAGCUUAUAAAAAAGGUUAGUUUCAUGUAAUUUUUAUUAUGUUUUUAUUAACAUAGAAUAGGGUUGAUGUCAACUACGAAACUUUUUGUCCACUACGAAACGGUUUUGUCAACUACGAAACACAUCAAAAUGUCCACUACGUAACAUGAGUUGUACCUUCAUAUGUGAAGUACUGUCUAAUCUUUAUCGAUAAAAAAUGG